rnacentral:rRNA from 1 species
UACGGAGGGUGCGAGCGUUGUCCGGAAUCACUGGGCGUAAAGGGCGCGUAGGCGGCCUGAUAAGUAGGGGGUGAAAUCUUGCGGCUUAACCGCAAGGCUGCCUUCUAAACUGUCGGGCUAGAGCACAGUAGAGGCAGGUGGAAUUCCCGGUGUAGCGGUGGAAUGCGUAGAGAUCGGGAGGAACACCAAUAGCGAAGGCAGCUCGCUGGGACGUUACUGACACUGAGGCGCGAAAGCGUGGGGAGCGAACAGG